CCUACGGGAGGCAGCAGUGAGGAAUAUUGGUCAAUGGACGAGAGUCUGAACCAGCCAAGUAGCGUGAAGGAUGACUGCCCUAUGGGUUGUAAACUUCUUUUAUAUGGGAAUAAAACGUUCCACGUGUGGGAUUUUGUAUGUACCAUAUGAAUAAGGAUCGGCUAACUCCGUGCCAGCAGCCGCGGUAAUACGGAGGAUCCGAGCGUUAUCCGGAUUUAUUGGGUUUAAAGGGAGCGUAGGUGGAUUGUUAAGUCAGUUGUGAAAGUUUGCGGCUCAACCGUAAAAUUGCAGUUGAAACUGGCAGUCUUGCGUACAGUAGAGGUGGGCGGAAGUCGUGGUGUAGCGGUGAAAUGCUUAGAUAUCACGAAGAACUCCGAUUGCGAAGGCAGUUCACUGGACUGCAACUGACACUGAGGAUCGAAAGUGUGGGUAUCAAACAGGAUUAGAUACCCAUGAGUC
rnacentral:rRNA from 1 species